GCAGGCCAGUGUAAAGACAAAGAACGUGUAAGCUCAGCUGAAUUGCCUAGUGCACCAAAGAUGCUUCAUGUGUUUGGCCCAGAUCCCAGAGGGAAUGAUUCUGAGGAUGAAGCUGUCUUACCAACAAGAAAACAAGUGCACCAUACUGGAGCUGGACCAGAGAGGCCAAGCGUCCCGUAGCCUGCACCAGGGAAGGAUUUCAUCGACUGACCUGCACCAGAGAAAGACUGUUUCCUCUGAGCCACAUCAGUUGAUAAGAAGACCACAAACCAGUCUUCAUAUAUCACACCUAGGCCUACCACAUCCAAGGCUUGAAAUCUGUAACUGAAGAAGAGAUAGGUGUUGAACCAAAUCUGCUACCAUUAGCUGAUCGCCAGUCUGUCCAAAACAUGGAGGAGCGGCUCAGAAAUAGUGCUGACCUCAAAAACCAUCUGAGAACUGCACUGGCUCUUAAAGGAGGGGGAGACGUUAAAGAGUGUAAAGAGUGUCAUGUGCAACCUUAACACUCUCUCGCCAAGAAUGUCAACAUGCG